rnacentral:rRNA from 1 species
AUUAGGAAUCUUGCGCAAUGGGCGAAAGCCUGACGCAGCGACGCCGCGUGGAGGAGGAAGUCCUUCGGGAUGUAAACUCCUUUUGAGUGGGAAGAAACAAAUGACGGUACCACUUGAAUAAGCCCCGGCUAACUACGUGCCAGCAGCCGCGGUAAUACGUAGGGGGCGAGCGUUGUCCGAAGUUACUGGGCGUAAAGCGCGCGUAGGCGGGUUGUUAAGUGAGAGGUGAAAGGCUGGGGCUUAACCGCAGCAGUGCCUCUCAUACUGGCAGUCUUGAGGGCGGUAGAGAGAAGUGGAAUGGCUGGUGUAGCGGUGAAAUGCGUAGAUAUCAGUCGGAACACCGGUGGCGAAGGCGGCUUCUUGGGCCGUACCUGACGCUGAGGCGCGAAAGCCAGGGGAGCGAACGGGAUUAGAAACCCCAGUAGUCC